CCAAAUAUGGUCGCUUUCUACAAAGAAACACAUUGGUCGAGGCUGAAGGGGAAAUUUAUCAACGCAACAACUGAAAACAAUUAUGUGAGAUUGAACUGUAGUACAAUUUUUGCUGGACUAUGUGGUUUCAUUCAUACCAUAUUCCUUAUACGUAUUUAAUUAAUUUCCAAUAAAUUUAGCUAGUGUGUGAUUUUCUAUAUAUUAUUUACUGCAUUAAUUUAAUUAAUGAUUUUCUUUCAUAUCAUAUUUAGAAUUUAAUGGUGGAGAAAUAUGGUAGAGAUUGUAGUUUGAUUCAAUUAUAUUACUUCCUGAUUUUCUUUCAUACCAUGUUCAUUUUCUAGUCAAUCUUGCUGGACUAUAUGAUAUGGAUUACAUCUUGAUGAUUUUCUGCAUGAACCAAGUAUGAUAUUCUUUCAUAUCAUAUUCAGAAUGUAAUGGUGGAGAAAUUGAAUGAGAUUGAAGUUUGCUUCAAUCUUCCAAGGACUAUAUGAUUUUCUGUCAUACCAUAUUCAUUAUACAUAGAAGCAUUAAUUCAAGGUGGCUUUUGCUUGACGAAAAGCUCUCAUUUUGAUUAUGAUUUACUGCAUUAAACUAAAGUUAGAUUUUCUUUCAUUAUCAUAUUCAGAAUCUAAUGGUGGAGAAAUUGAAAGAAAAAGACCCCGAGGAGGACGUUGAUGAAGUGGCUGCUGCUGUUUUCAAAGAUGUUUUGGGGUUUAGAUCUGGGUACGCCUAGGGGAUGGGGCACAUGGUCAUUCCCGACCCCUCUCCCUCAAUGAAUAAGAGCAAGGCAUUUGUUCGUCUAGCUGAAGAAAAUGAACGAAACAAGACUUGUGCAGAAAUGUACAAGAGUAAACUAGAUUCUCUUAUGAGUGAUAUGGCUGGAUUGAGGAGAGAAUUUUCUGAGUGUGAGAAAGGGAUAAACUUAAGGAUGUCUGAGUUGGAAGGAAAUACUGAGUCUCAUAGAGAGACUCAGCAAGAUGCUUAGGCAUCUGCUGAAUUUGGGUACAGCAGAAUUUUUUGUGGGCAUUUUUUGUGGAUUGUAUCAAUCCAAAGGCCAUGGCAGUUUGUAAGGGGAUAUAUUUUGAUGGGGCUUAGUGGAAAUAUUUUGUGGUAGGGUAUGUUAGAACAAGUUAUAGGAAAAAGAUGGUGGUUUUAAAACUUUUGUCUAGAGCAUGAGGAAGUGUGUGGGAUUUGACUCUGGGUUGGUUGCAUAUAUAAAUUUAGGAAAGAAUUUUAUUGUUUCAGAAGACUUCUAGUACUCAUCAAGGGGUGAAGUUUUAGGGCACCUACCUGCAUUAAAUCAGAUAUUGGAGCAAAAGGUUUUGCUGUUUUCCUUGCACAAGAGUAACUAUGAGCCCUUCAUUAUUUGUGGAUUAAGAGGCUUUGCAACCAACUAUGAAUGGAGUUGAAUUGGAGCACACAUGUUAUUGCAGUAAUAUGUUUAGAACAAGAAAUAUGUGUACAUGUUGGAGGAUUUUCUUAUGAACAUUACUGAUGUAGUUGGCUUACCUCCUAUAAUCCCCUAUUUGCAAACAUAUAUUGUAAAUCAGCAGGUGUUGAUUGACUGGUUAAUCCAGUUGAUAAAUGUGUAAAAGUAUUAUGAUAUAUA